GGGGAAUAUUGCACAAUGGGCGCAAGCCUGAUGCAGCGACGCCGCGUGAGGGAUGACGGCCUUCGGGUUGUAAACCUCUUUCAGUAGGGAAGAAGCCGCAAGGUGACGGUACCUGCAGAAGAAGCGCCGGCUAACUACGUGCCAGCAGCCGCGGUAAUACGUAGGGCGCAAGCGUUAUCCGGAAUUAUUGGGCGUAAAGAGCUCGUAGGCGGUUCGUCGCGUCGGCUGUGAAAACCCGGAGCUCAACUCCGGGCCUGCAGUCGAUACGGGCGGACUUGAGUGUUGCAGGGGAGACUGGAAUUCCUGGUGUAGCGGUGAAAUGCGCAGAUAUCAGGAGGAACACCGGUGGCGAAGGCGGGUCUCUGGGCAACUACUGACGCUGAGGAGCGAAAGCGUGGGGAGCGAAC
rnacentral:rRNA from 1 species